CGCAAUCGAAUCGGAUAGAGAUCCAGAAAGAGGAGCCCAGGAAUGAGAGAGGCAGGGGGAUGAACAGUGGCUUUUUAGCUCGCUAUGAUCUAAUGCAUCGUGAUCUCAGCCAAAAUGGGAGCAAGGGAAUCGGUGGCGUUAUGUAGUCUUCUUCCUCCAUUCCGGGGAGUGUGUAUUUACGGACGAGAUAGUGAAUCCCGCAGUACAGCAUCACGGGGCGUAGGAUUGGAACGCGCUUUUGACGAACUUGGAUUCUUCCACCGGUAAAAAUGCAGAGGAUUGCGCGAAAGGCUUGAUUUUCUUCUUUCUUUUCCCCAAGCAAGCACGAUUUUCGCCCCUCACGCAAGAAGUGAGUUUUAAAAACAAAGGAUCUCCUUUGGCAAGUUGCUGGUGUCAAAAGAAUCCAUAGAGUUUGUAAA